rnacentral:SRP_RNA from 1 species
GCCGGGCGUGGUGGCUCACGCCUGUAAUCCCAGCACUUGGGAGGCCGAGACAGGCAGAUCACCUGAGGUCAGGAGUUUGGGAAGAGCCUGACCGACAUGGAGAAACCCUGUCUCUA